rnacentral:rRNA from 1 species
GACGAACGCUGGCGGCGUGCUUAACACAUGCAAGUCGAACGAAGUGGCGAACGGGUGAGUAAUACUUGAGUAACCUGCGCUACUUUUUGGGAUAAGCCUUGGAAACGGUGUCUAAUACCGACUAAAGGGGGAUGGGCGCGCGGCCUAUUAGCUUGUUGGUUGGGUGAUGGCCUCCCAGUGCGGUGACGGGUCGUCGGCCUGAGAGGGUGACAUGCCAAAUUUGGACUGGGAUACGGCCCAGACUGCGACGGGAGGCAGCAGUGGGGGAUAAUGCACAAUGGGCGAAAGGCUGAAGCAGCGAUGCCGCGUGGGGGAUGAAGGCUCUCAGGGUGUAAAUCUCGGUCGCUAUCGAACGGGUAGGUGGAGAAGAAGCGCCGGCUAACUACGUGCCAGCCGCCGCGGUAAUUC